GAUGAACGCUGGCGGCGUGCCUAAUACAUGCAAGUCGAGCGAACGGACGAGAAGCUUGCUUCUCUGAUGUUAGCGGCGGACGGGUGAGUAACACGUGGAUAACCUACCUAUAAGACUGGGAUAACUUCGGGAAACCGGAGCUAAUACCGGAUAAUAUUUUGAACCGCAUGGUUCAAAAGUGAAAGACGGUCUUGCUGUCACUUAUAGAUGGAUCCGCGCUGCAUUAGCUAGUUGGUAAGGUAACGGCUUACCAAGGCAACGAUGCAUAGCCGACCUGAGAGGGUGAUCGGCCACCCUGGAACUGAGCCACGGUCCAGACUCCUACGGGAGGCAGCAGUAGGGAAUCUUCCGCAAUGGUCGAAAACCUGACGGAGCAACGCCGCGUGAGUGAUGAAGGUCUUCGGAUCGUAAAACUCUGUUAUUAGGGAAGAACAUAUGUGUAAGUAACUGUGCACAUCUUGACGGUACCUAAUCAGAAAGCCACGGCUAACUACGUG
rnacentral:rRNA from 1 species